rnacentral:lncRNA from 1 species
GAACCGGCAAGGUUCCAGAAGGUGAGUCGUACUUUGUGGACUUUGGAAGUACUGAAUGUUCCUGUCCUCAAGGAGGUGGACGGAUCAGCUGCCAUUUUAUACCAUGCCCUGAGCUUCCGGCCAACUGCAUAGCAUUGUCGGAACCGUCGGAUGGGUGCAUUCAGUGCGAGCGAGUUGGAUGCGUUCACGAGGGGCAGAAGUACGAAGCCGGACACUCAUUCCAAAUUGACCCUUGCCAAGUAUGCCACUGCCGAAAUGAAGGCGGAGACCUAAUGUGCUAUCCGGUUCCAAACUGCGACCCAAAUCAUGCUUCAAAACCCAUGCUAACCACAACAGCUGAGGACAGCACAUCAGAGAGACGGUACCGAGACCCAAUACAACACAUUUUUAACCCUCAAGGCUCCAGAGGUCCCUUUAACAAACACUUUUCCUUACACAGCGAUAGUAAUCGUACUUUUAAGCUACGUAUGAGAAACGUAGAUGAGAAGGAAGAGAAUGAAGAAGACUAUGAUUAUUCACCCACUGAUUCCUUAGCUCCAUCUCUGCAUGAUUUUGCUGCUCCCACAGAGUCAUCCAUCAUCUCUGUGUCUCGUUCAGAUAAUUUUACCCCCCGCCAGGGUGUGCACAGGGGAGCCAAGCAAGAGCUGAGAGAGAUGUUUGGUAUUCGUAAGUCCACAACAGACAGGCCGCAGUUUCCUUUCCAUAAGGACAUUACUGACAGGAUGAGAGUCGGCAUUCAUAACGACAAACCAAAAAACGAGCUAUUCAGCCCUCUGAAAUAUAAAACAGACCGGGAACGAUUCAUCCUUCCUGUGGAAACUACAAACAGAGUGGGAUUCGUCACUCAUAAAGAUACCUCAGAGAUCCAGAGCUUUAGUCUUUAUAAAGACGACUCCAAUCAAGAGGCCCUAACAGAUGAUGAACAGCUUGAAUUUCCUUCGGAAACUACUGAUGGGGAUACAUAUACCUCACAGGAACACACCACAUAUAGUGAAAUGGUUACUGACUCUCCGAUGGCUGUUGAGCAAACUACAUCUCUGCUUCGGGAAACCACAACUUCAUCGCAGACCGUUUUGGAUGGUGUAUCCGAGAGUCAAAUUCAUUCACUUGACAUUAUCCCCAAUAGUGUGGAAACAGAUGGCUCCAAACAAGAAGAAACCAUAUCAAGAGGGUCUAGUAAGGAAAAAGCAGCUGUUUUGAAUGAAACUACUAGCAUUGAUGGUAUUCAGAAUGACCAUAUCUUAAGCAGUCCAAGUCCUGUUAAGCAAAGUGUGACCAUCCCUACCAAAACUUUGACAGAACAUGGAAAAUCAGAAGCAGAACUUGAAGAGGAACACAAAAGGCUCUCAGUGGACCACAGAGAACCUUCUGUAGACCACAAACAACAUCUUGUUGAACACAUAAAACCCCUUGAGCGCCAAAAACCUGAAGCAGAACAUGUGCAGACCCUAGGAGAACACAACACAGAGUUUGAAGGGAAACAUCAGUGGCAGCUGUUCUCUCCAGCUGAGUUCAGUCCAACCAGCCCACCUUCAAGCAAUCAGUCCCACAGUCUGUUUAACUUCAGAGAGGAGGAGGAAGAGGC